rnacentral:rRNA from 1 species
CCUACGGGAGGCAGCAGUGGGGAAUAUUGCACAAUGGGCGAAAGCCUGAUGCAGCAACGCCGCGUGAGCGAUGAAGGCCUUCGGGUCGUAAAGCUCUGUCUUUUGGGACGAAUAAUGACGGUACCAAAGGAGGAAGCCACGGCUAACUACGUGCCAGCAGCCGCGGUAAU